rnacentral:antisense_RNA from 1 species
AUAAUAAUUACCACCAUUUUUA